GAUGAACGCUGGCGGCGUGCCUAAUACAUGCAAGUCGAGCGAACAGACGAGGAGCUUGCUCCUCUGACGUUAGCGGCGGACGGGUGAGUAACACGUGGAUAACCUACCUAUAAGACUGGGAUAACUUCGGGAAACCGGAGCUAAUACCGGAUAAUAUAUUGAACCGCAUGGUUCAAUAGUGAAAGACGGUUUUGCUGUCACUUAUAGAUGGAUCCGCGCCGCAUUAGCUAGUUGGUAAGGUAACGGCUUACCAAGGCAACGAUGCGUAGCCGACCUGAGAGGGUGAGUGGACACACUGGAACUGAGACACGGUCCAGACUCUGACGGGAGGCAGCAGUAGGGAAUCUUCCGCAAUGGGCGAAAGCCUGACGGAGCAACGCCGCGUGAGUGAUGAAGGUCUUCGGAUCGUAAAACUCUGUUAUUAGGGAAGAACAAAUGUGUAAGUAACUAUGCACGUCUUGACGGUACCUAAUCAGAAAGCCACGGCUAACUACGUG
rnacentral:rRNA from 1 species